AACGAACGCUGGCGGCAUGCCUAACACAUGCAAGUCGAACGACACCUUCGGGACUGGUGGCGCACGGGUGCGUAGCGCGUGGGAACCGGCCCUUAGGCUCGGAAUAACACCCCGAAAGGGGUGCUAAUACCGGAUAAUGUCCUCGGACCACAGAUACAUCGUGCGUGGAUGGGCCCGCGUUGUUCUAGCUUGUUGGGAGUGUAAAAGCCUAUCAAGGCGACGAUACAUAGCCGGUCUGAGAGGAUGAUCAGCCACACUGGGACUGAGACACGGCCCAGACUCUUACGGGAGGCAGCAGUGGGGAAUAUUGGAAAACGGGCGAAAGGCUGAUGCAGCUAGGGCGCGUGAGUGAUGAAGGCCUUAGGGUUGUAAAGCUCUUUUAUCCGGGAUGAUAAUGACAGUACCGGGAGAAUAAGCACCGGCUAACUCCGUG
rnacentral:rRNA from 1 species